UGUUUACGGUGUGGGAUUUCAUUCUUCACAGAAGAAACAAAAUGGGACCAAUAUUAGGCUCGAAAGAAGGAUUACAUUUCCAAGCAAGAUUGCUUCCCCCCCCCCAUUUAUACUUUGUCCAGAUUCCAGACAGAAAGACUCAGCUCAAGGAAGUCCAUACGUGGAGAUGUUGGAAAAAGGUUCCUGGGUCUUGGAAGAUGACUUGAAAUAUGCAGGGGAAGUAGUGUGCCUUUGUGUCUUAUAUAGAAUAAAAUUGAAGGGUGUUUUUUAUAGAAAACAUUUGUCAGAUUUAUCUGAUCAUUGAAGAUUUAUAUAAUAAGAAUCCUUUUGUUGUUGCUGUUCACAUUUUCCCCUUUUGAUCAUAAAUCAAAGGAAAAGAUGCACUGAUGAUCAACCUUUUGGUUGAAUAGUGUGAUUGUUACCGGACAGGAACUGGACCUGGAGUGGGUCUGCUUCAAGCCAGCCUGUAUUAUGUGGGCUCUUGACUUUGUGCAGGAAAGAUUUCACAAUACGAGUCCAAGUGCUUUUGAAAGUAUAGUACACUUAUUAAAGCUAGGGACAAUGAAACAAGGUAGGGCUUAGGAUAUAAGAAACAAUAGGGGAGAGCCUAGGCAGGGCUGCUUUGACUUUCUAGAAAUGUUAUAGGAAAGAAAUGAACCUAGGCAGAGCUACUUUGACUCACUGAGAAGUCAAAAAAAAGGGGGCCUUGGAGGCAGAUUUAGGGGGUUUGCUGGGGAUGAGCUGCCGUUGCCCAUUGCUCCCCUGGAUGCAAGUCUUUAGAGUUUAGGAAAUGCACGCCUGAAAUGGAAGAAAGGUGUGGGCAUGCUCCCAGAAGAGAGAACAUGCGUGCCUCUUUUCCUUUUGUUUUCAGUGUUGAUUUAAGUUAAUUUUCUGUCUUAAAAGUGGAUGUAAACUUUGUUUAUGGCCCUUAAUGAAAAGAUUUAUAAAAUAAAUGCAUUCAGAAACAAAACUAAAACAAUAUUAAUGGGAUGAUGAUACUGUUUUACAGGAAUAAACAUGGUACUAGUUGCUAUGGAAUAAGUUGUAAACACAUAAGAUCUUGUGCCUUGUGAUGAUUGUAAAGUUUUACAAACUGGACAACAGUAGUUCCUUUGCAAAUCUCAAGAUUAUUUUAAAUGAGGAGAGGGGCCUAAGUUGUCAAAAGAAUAUCUCUGGACUCUGCAAAUCCUAAUUUGAAGAAUUUUGUAUUACAUUAUCUCCAAACAUUCUUCUAGCUCCAGUCAGUAAUUCAGAGUCUUGGAACUAGAAUUUCUUUGAAAACUAGAAUUCCUUUAAAAAGCUUUUUCUUUAAUCUAAGAUUAGGGUUGGCUAGUAAUUAACUAAAUUGGAUUAAAAAUUGACUGUGCACUGCC